rnacentral:rRNA from 1 species
UACGUAGGGUGCAAGCGUUAUCCGGAAUUACUGGGCGUAAAGAGUGCGUAGGCGGUUUUUUAAGUUAGAUGUUAAAUCCCCAGGCUUAACUUGGGGGCUGCAUCUAAUACUGGGAGACUUGAGAGUGGAAGAGGCAAGCGGAAUUUCCGGUGGAGCGGUAAAAUGCGUAGAUAUCGGAAAGAACACCAAUGGCGAAGGCAGCUUGCUGGGCCAUUUCUGACGCUGAGGCACGAAAGCGUGGGGAGCGAUC